rnacentral:rRNA from 1 species
UACGAACCGUACAAACGUUAUUCGGAAUCACUGGGCUUAAAGGGUGCGUAGGCGGCCAUGUAAGUGAGGUGUGAAAUCCUUCGGCUCAACCGAGGAACUGCGCUUCAUACUGCAUGGCUUGAGGGAGACAGGGGUAAGCGGAACUGAUGGUGGAGCGGUGAAAUGCGUUGAUAUCAUCAGGAACACCGGUGGCGAAAGCGGCUUACUGGGUCUCUUCUGACGCUGAGGUACGAAAGCUAGGGUAGCGAACGGG